AUUCCAGCUCCAGUAGCGUAUAUUAAAGUUGUUGCAGUUAAAAAGCUCGUAGUUGGAUUUCUGGCCUGACGAAACUGACCCGCCGCGGUUACGUGUGUGAGUGUCGGGCUUCGUCUGCCAUCCUUCCAGAAAACGUUUCUACCCUUCACUGGGUUGGAUUCGCGAUCUGGAACUUUUACUUUGAAGAAAUUAGAGUGUUCAAAGCAGGCUUGCGCUGUGAAUACAUUAGCAUGGAAUAAUAAUUUAGGACUCAGGUCUUAUUUUGUUGGUUCUUAAGAUCUAAGUAAUGAUUGAUAGGGAUAGUUGGGGGUGCUAGUAUUCAGCGGCCAGAGGUGAAAUUCUUGGAUUCGCUGAAGACUAACUUAUGCGAAAGCAUUCACCAAGGAUGUCUUCAUCA
rnacentral:rRNA from 1 species